UUAUAAAUGCUCAGGAAACUGUUGAAGAGCUUACAGAGAGUCUAAGAGAAGAGAAACAAUUAUUAAAGACUUUAAUGGAAAGAAAUAAAGACAAAUAGUGUAUCAAAUAUGAGUUUAAACUACAAAAGAAGAGUCUACCAGUUCAUUUCAAUGAAUCCUCAACAGUUGAUAAUGUACAAGGAUUUAUGAGGAGAGAUGAUGGAGAGAUUGAGUCCUUUUCAUUUGAUAUUAGUAAAUGUGAUCAUGUGGAUAUAGCUAACUCACUGUGGGGACUAUCAACAAAUGGAGUUAAUGAAGAACUACUAACUAGUGAAACUAAACAAAAUUAAAUAAAAGUCUAAUUAUAAAAUCAUUUAAAAAUUAUUACAUAGCGAGUAACUGUUUGCAGGAUUGCAGCAUUGCAAUUACAAAAAUAAAAAUUAAAAUGACACUUAGAAAUUCAACCAAUACA